UACGAAGGGUGCAAGCGUUACUCGGAAUUACUGGGCGUAAAGCGUGCGUAGGUGGUGAGUUAAGUCUGUCGUGAAAGCCCCGGGCUCAACCUGGGAACUGCCUUUGUGACUGCAUAGCUAGAGUACGGUAGAGGGGGAUGGAAUUCCCGGUGUAGCGGUGAAAUGCGCAGAUAUCGGGAGGAACACCAAUGGCGAAGGCAGCUCGCUGGGACGUUACUGACGCUGAGACGCGAAAGCGUGGGGAGCAAACAGGG
rnacentral:rRNA from 1 species